rnacentral:rRNA from 1 species
GAUGAACGCUGGCGGCGUGCCUAAUACAUGCAAGUCGAACGCUGAAGGAAGGAGCUUGCUCUUUCCGGAUGAGUUGCGAACGGGUGAGUAACGCGUAGGUAACCUGCCUGGUAGCGGGGGAUAACUAUUGGAAACGAUAGCUAAUACCGCAUAACAGUAGAUGUUGCAUGAUAUCUACUUAAAAGGUGCAAUUGCACCACUACCAGAUGGACCUGCGUUGUAUUAGCUAGUUGGUGAGGUAACGGCUCACCAAGGCGACGAUACAUAGCCGACCUGAGAGGGUGAGCGGCCGGCCUGGGACUGAGACCCGGCCCAGACUCCUACGGGAGGCGGCAGGAGGGAAUCGGCGGCCAUGGGCGGAAGACUGACCGAGAAAGGCCGAGGGAGUGUAGAAGGUUGUCGGAUCGGAAAGGUCGGUUGUAAGGGAAGAACGAGUGUGAGAGUGGAAAGUUGCCAGUGUGACGGUAACUUACCAGAAAGGGACGGCUAACUACGUG